ensembl:lncRNA
AUGAUUAGCGCUCGUCUCACACAGGCUUCAUUAUCUGCCUCUGUGUUUCAGAUCACCACAGACAUGACAGCAUGGCUGAAAGUCACGGCAUCAAAGGAAGCGAUAUUAAUGCUGACUUCAAGGUCAGAACAUCAAUUCAGGCUGUUUUGCAAAAUUCCCAGUGAAGGACAGAGGCACGGCUGUGUGUCAGGUGAACGGGAUUGUGUUCUUAAUGAAAGACUCAUAAAACGCACUACAGGGAGAGUGUGCUUGCUUUCUAGGUCAUUAUUCAAACCCAACGUGAGAUCAGGUCACUCUAUCAGCUGUGUUCAUGUUGAAGUGUCACAUAAGCCUGUUUUAAGGUCCAUUUACAAAAAAAAUUACUUCAUGAAUAAUACAAAAAAAAAAAAAAAAGUAUGUUUUUGGGGGGAAAAAAUAAGUAUUUUCUGCUCACCAAGGUUGCAUUUAUCAAAAAUACAGUAUUAUAUAUAUAUAUAUAUAUAUAUAUAUAUAUAUUAUUGCAAUUUAAAAUAGCUGUUUUCUAUGUGAAGAUCUGUUAAAAUAUAAUUUAUUUCUGUGAUUCAGCGCUGAAUUUUUAGCAUCAUUACUCCAGUCUUCAGUUUCACAUGAUAUUCAGAAAUCAUUUUAAAAUGAUGAUUUGCUGCUCAAGAAACAUUUCUGAUUAUUAUCAAUGCUGAAAACUAUGUAAGCACGUUUCUACCAUGAAAAAAAGACUAAAUAAAUAAAAAGGUAAUUUUAAAUAACUUUUUAUCUCACAAUACAGACUUUGUUUCUCGCAAUUCUGAUAAAGAUAGUCAAAAUUGUGUUAUAUAAACUCUGUAUUGUAAGAAAAAUAGUCAGAAUUGUGAGAUAAAAAGUUGCAAUUACCCUUGUAUUUUUAUUCUGAGGUAAAAACAAAGAAACUGAAUUGUGAGAUGCAAAGACAGAAUUGUGAGAAAUAGUCAGAAUUUCAGGUUGACAUGUUACUAUUCAGAAGUUUAUAAUUAUGAGAAAAAGUCUGAAUUGUGAGGUCUGAGCUGUUUCAACGGAAAGAAACUUGCACAGAUUGAUCUUAAAAUAUGUCUGUGCCCUAGUUUUGUCCCAAGAUGCACACCAGAAAUGCUUUUUUUUCUAAGGCAUGUUUAUAAAAAUUACUUAAAUGUCCUAAUUGAACUAUGGCCUAAUCCUGGCUUAGUCUAAGCCCUGUCUGUGAAACCAGGCCAUAAACUCAGAAUUGCAAGAAAAUAAAUAUAGUUUAUAUAUAUAAAUAAAGAUAUAAACUUGUAAUUGUGAGGAAAAAGUCAGAAUUGUUAGAUAUAAACUUGUAAUUGUGAGAAAAAGUCUGAAUUGCGAGAAAUAAACUGAAUUCUGAGAAAAAUUCGGAUUUGUGAGACAUAAAUUUUAAUUGCGAGAAAAAGUCUGAAUUGCGAGAAAUAAACUCUGAAUUCUAAGAAAAUUUCGGAUUUGUGAGACAUAAACUUGUAAUUGCGAGAAAAAGUCUGAAUUGUGAGAAAAAACUGAAUUCUGAGAAAAAGUCAGAAUUGUGAAAUAUAAACUUGUAAUUGCGAGAAAAAGUCUGAGUUGCAAAGAAAUAAACUGAAUUCUGAGAAAAAUUCAGAAUUGUAAGACAUAAACUUGUAAUUGCAAGAAAAAGUCUGAAUUGCGAGAAAAUAAACUGAAUUCUAAGAAAAUUUCGGAUUUGUGAGAUAUAAACUUGUAAUUGCGAGAAAUAAACUCUGAAUUCUAACAAAAUUUCGGAUUUGUGAGACAUAAACUUGUAAUUGCGAGAAAAAGUCUGAAUUGUGAGAAAAAAACUGAAUUCUGAGAAAAAGUCAGAAUUGUGAGAUAUAAACUUGUAAUGCGAGAAAAAGUCUGAAUUGCAAGAAAUACUGUAAACUCUGAAUUCUGAGAAAAAUUCAGAAUUGUGAGACAUAAACUUGUAAUUGCAAGAAAAAGUCUGAAUUGCGAGAAAAUAAACUGAAUUCUAAGAAAAUUUCGGAUUUGUGAGAUAUAAACUUGUAAUUGCGAGAAAAAGUCUGAAUUGUAAAAAAUAAACUCUGAAUUCUGAGAAAAAUUCGGAAUUGUGAGAUAUAAAAUCAGAAUUGUGAGAAAAAGUCAAAAUUGUGAGACAUAAACUUGUAAUUGCGAGAAAAAGUCUGCAUUGUGAGAAAAAAACUGAAUUCUGAGAAAAAGUCAGAAUUGUGAGAUAUAAACUUGUAAUGCGAGAAAAAGUCUGAAUUGCAAAAAAUAAACUGAAUUCUGAGAAAAAUUCGGAAUUGUGAGACAAACUUUUAAUUGCGAGAAAAAAUCUGAAUUCGAGAAAUAAACUCUGAAUUCUAAGAAAAUUUCGGAUUUGUGAGACAUAAACUUGUAAUUGCGAGAAAAAGUCUGAAUUGUGAGAAAAAAACUGAAUUCUGAGAAAGAGUCAGAAUUGUGAAAUAUAAACUUGUAAUUGCGAGAAAAAGUCUGAAUUCAAAAAAUAAACUGAAUUCUGAGAAAAAUUCGGAAUUGUGAGACAUAAACUUUUAAUUGCGAGAAAAAAUCUGAAUUCGAAAAAUAAACUCUGAAUUCUGAGAAAAAUUCAGAAUUGUGAGAUAUAAACUCAGAAUUGCGAGAAAAAGUCUGAAUUGUGAGAAAAAACUGAAUUCUAAGAAAAAGUUAGAAUUGUGAGACAUAAACUUGUAAUUGCGAGAAAAAGUCUUAAUUGUGAGAAAUAAACUCUGAAUUUGUAGAAAAAAUUUAAAUUGUGAGAUAUAAACCCGGAAUUGCGAGAAAAAGUCUGAAUUGUGAGAUAUAAACUUGUAAUUGCGAGAAUUAUAUUUUUAAUCUUUUUUUAUUAUUAUUCUGUGGUGAAAACAAGCUUCCAUAGAAAGCAUUUCUUCAUAUUUUUUGUGGAAACCGUGAUGAUGAAUAGAAAAUUCAAAAGAUUUACUGUCACUUAUGAUCAAUUUAAUGCAUCUUUGCUGAAUAAAUCUAUGAAGAAAAGUCUUUUGAACAGUAGUGUAUAACUGGAAUGUUUUCAGAUAUUUACAUGGCUGCAUUUGCAGUUACUCAAGCAACAUUACAAAUGAUCACAUGGGCUAUGGGUCAUUUUCGAGGUUCCCGAGUCAAACAGAAAAACCGCGAAUGGAAGAACCAGUGGUCUGAUGCAGAACUCGACACCUUAAUGAGCACAAAAGCUGUACAUCCCGAGCCUGUGAGAUUUUGUCUGGGAUCGAGAUCACAGCCGACCCUCGAGUACAAACAAGAUUCGGCAAGCUGGAGGUUCUGGCUCAGACUGGCGACCCAAAAUUAGGCCGGUUUUGAAAGAACGCGGUCUGGGGUUUGAGACCAACGGUCUUUCUUGGCACGGAUGCCAUCUGUAAUAUUCAGCACAUUUCAUACACGGUUAAUUUCAGCUGGACAGCUUCAGUGCCAAUGAAAAUACAUUCGUUCUCUUUGCCUUCGACACUGGGAGCGAUCCAGGCCUCCCUCUCGAUUCAUGGAAAAGUGCACUGGAAGAGAAGGAGAGAAAGAUUUAAUUUAAAACUGUGGAAAGACACCAUCUAACCUCUCGGUGUUAUAAAUCACAGGAUUGAUGAGGGGAAUGGCUGGAGCCGAACGCAGAAGGCUGAAUCUAUUGUCCAUAUACAUUGGCUUCAGGAAUAUGGAGGCUUGCUUUACAGACGCCUGUUAUUUGAUGACUCAAUGGAGCCGAGGAACAUUUUUUGCUUUGAGCGAGAGAAUUAUAACGGGGGAAAACAACCGCAUACUCAGAUGAAAUGCUCUGCCAGGGACUUUUAUGAAUACCAUUAGAUCUCCCACUUGAUGAAAUCAUGCAUUUUCUCAAGGUAAUAUCCUAAUUAGGCCAAAUGAAGAGUACAAAAGUGUCAUACAUGUUUUUUAUUAAAUGAUUUUAAUUGAGCGCGACUCGUUUAUUUUGCAAUCUAAAUCUGCUCCAAUGAAAUGUGUUUGCUCUGCAUUGAAUUUGCAUGAAUUAAAAUCAUCAGAUGCAGUUCUAGAAGAGAACAAUGAAAGAAAAUCUGGUUUUGAUCCAAUUUAAAAGGACGGACAGGCAAAAUAAAUACCGUUGGUAUCAUUGGUUGAUUUUUAUAUACAUAUUUUCUCAUUCUGGAAAGCUUUUGUUGUUGGGCAAAAACAUUGUAUAGGCCCCUGCAAACAAGAUGUUGUCAUCAAUAUUUUAAAACAAAGACAAAGUUUAAAUUUAAAGAAGUAUAUCUGCAUCCAUUUAUUUAUGAGACAUUCUGUUUAUUUAUUUAUUUAUUUAUUAGGCAUUCACUGCAUUGUUUGUUUGUUUUUUUAACAUUCACUGCAUAUAUUUGGUUGGUUAUUUAUUUAUUUGGCAUUCACUUUAUUUGUUUGUUUUUU